rnacentral:rRNA from 1 species
UACGAAGGAGGCUAGCGUUGCUCGGAAUCACUGGGCGUAAAGGGCGCGUAGGCGGACUCUUAAGUCGGGGGUGAAAGCCCAGGGCUCAACCCUGGAAUUGCCUUCGAUACUGAGAGUCUUGAGUUCGGAAGAGGUUGGUGGAACUGCGAGUGUAGAGGUGAAAUUCGUAGAUAUUCGCAAGAACACCAGUGGCGAAGGCGGCCAACUGGUCCGAUACUGACGCUGAGGCGCGAAAGCGUGGGGAGCAAACAGGG